rnacentral:rRNA from 1 species
UACGAAGGGGGCUAGCGUUGCUCGGAAUGACUGGGCGUAAAGGGCGCGUAGGCGGAUGGCACAGUCAGAUGUGAAAUUCCCGGGCUUAACCUGGGGGCUGCAUUUGAUACGUGUUGUCUUGAGUUCGGAAGAGGGUCGUGGGAAUUCCCAGUGUAGAGGUGAAAUUCGUAGAUAUUGGGAAGAACACCGGUGGCGAAGGCGGCGACCUGGUCCGACACUGACGCUGAGGCGCGAAAGCGUGGGGAGCAAACAGG